UGGGGAAUAUUGCACAAUGGGCGCAAGCCUGAUGCAGCCAUGCCGCGUGUAUGAAGAAGGCCUUCGGGUUGUAAAGUACUUUCAGCGGGGAGGAAGGGAGUAAAGUUAAUACCUUUACUCAUUGACGUUACCCGCAGAAGAAGCACCGGCUAACUCCGUGCCAGCAGCCGCGGUAAUACGGAGGGUGCAAGCAUUAAUCGGAAUUACUGGGCGUAAAGCGCACGCAGGCGGUUUGUUAAGUCAGAUGUGAAAUCCUCGGGCUCAACCUGGGAACUGCAUCUGAUACUGGCAAGCUUGAGUCUCGUAGAGGGGGGUAGAAUUCCAGGUGUAGCGGUGAAAUGCGUAGAGAUCUGGAGGAAUACCGGUGGCGAAGGCGGCCCCCUGGACAAAGACUGACGCUCAGGUGCGAAAGCGUGGGGAGCAAACAGG
rnacentral:rRNA from 1 species